rnacentral:rRNA from 1 species
CGUAAGGCGCCGAAUGAGUCAUUAAAAAAUUAACAUCAUCCGAUCCCUAGUCGGCAUAGUUUAUGGUUAAGACUACGACGGUAUCUGAUCGUCUUCGAUCCCCUAACUUUCGUUCUUGAUUAAUGAAAACAUCCUUGGCAAAUGCUUUCGCAGUAGUUAGUCUCCAAUAAAUCCAAGAAUUUCACCUCUGACAAUUGAAUACUAAUGCCCCCAACUAUCCCUAUUAAUCAUUACGUCAAUCCUAAGAAACCAAACAAAAUAGGAUCGAACGUCCUAUUCAUUAUUCCAUGCUAAUGUAUUCAAGCGUUAGCUUG